UACGUAGGGGGCAAGCGUUAUCCGGAAUUACUGGGUGUAAAGGGAGCGUAGACGGUAAUGUAAGUCUGGAGUGAAAGGCGGGGGCCCAACCCCCGGACUGCUCUGGAAACUAUGUUACUAGAGUGCAGGAGAGGUAAGCGGGAUUCCUAGUGUAGCGGUGAAAUGCGUAGAUAUUAGGAGGAACACCAGUGGCGAAGGCGGCUUACUGGACUGUAACUGACGUUGGGGCUCGAAAGCGUGGGGAGCAAACAGG
rnacentral:rRNA from 1 species